UAUGUUUAUAAAGAGCCAGAUUCCAUGCUUUAAAAUCAUUCAUACCAGUCCAAGUGCUGUUCAGGCCCUUGUGUCUGUGCUAUACAUUACAGUGAAACAAGCUAGCGUAUUGUUGGAGAGCUAUAGACAGAUGACAAAUUAAGAGAAAAGUCUGGAUAAAAAGUGGAGAAACAUAACAAAAGCAGAUGCUUUCAUAUUGUUGUACUACAUACAAUGAGCAGUUCACAUCAGAUAACGUUCUGUGACGUGGGAAUUUUUGAUCUAUGAUCAAGGUGGCCUGAGCAAAAGCUCUGAGUAACUCAUUCAAGACAGAUACACAUGUGAGAGAUAAAGGGGACAUAUCACCCUUUUUGUGAUUUUCUGUUAUUUAUAUGUAGCCGGGUGGUAAAUUGGUUCAGAUGUAAUGUAAUUUCCACUUAGGUCUAAUAUAGCUCUCAAAGCUGUUUACAUGUGUUAAUACAUGUGUUCUUUGUUUUUCUUUUGAGUGUAAAAUUGUUUAAGUCUUAAUUAAAAUGUGAGGGAGACUGUAAGUGGGCUGUGACAGUCUAACUGGCUAUUGCUGAUUUUGGUCACAAGGUGGCAGCGUUGAGUAAUAUUGUUGUCGCUCCACCAAGUGCAUCUUGGUCUUUCUUCCUGUUAAUGUGCGAACGACCUGGAAAUUUGCAGAGUGGAAAAGUCUUGUAAAGUAGAAGGUAAACGACAGCAUGUUGAGUUGUGUAAUCUCCAGGGAGCUCCACAUGGAUUUGGUGAGUCUUGUUGAAACGUGUCUUGUUGAAAUACUGCUGUAUUUUGAUUUUGUUAUUUUUCUUUUAAAUCUUUUUUUUUUGUGUUAUAUCUGCCACAAUCUGUGAAAGCACAUGAGCUGUGUUCUAAAAGGACUCAGUAGCUUACACACUCUGUUAAAAUGACCUGAUGCAAAUGUGGUAAACAAUAAAAUUAGAGCUACAAGAACCCUUGAA